GGAGAGGUCGCAUAGUGGCCUAGUGCACACCCUUGGAAAGGGUGCAUAUCGCAAGAUAUCGGGAGUUCGAAUCUCCCUCUCUCCGCCA
rnacentral:tRNA from 1 species